rnacentral:snoRNA from 1 species
GGGCACAACUUGAACUGUAAUUGGUCUUUUCUUGUGGCCACUUACAUGGUUCAAAAAAGUGCAAGAUUAAAGUGUAUCUUGUCAUAACUGGGGUUGCUUGGCAGUAUCACCAAGUUUCUCUUUUAAAGCAAGACACAAAU